UCCUGGUGUAGCGGUGGAAUGCGCAGAUAUCAGGAGGAACACCGAUGGCGAAGGCAGUUCUCUGGGCCGUAACUGACGCUGAGGAGCGAAAGCGUGGGGAGCGAACAGGAUUAGAUACCCUGGUAGUCCACGCCGUAAACGUUGGGCGCUAGAUGUGGGGACCAUUCCACGGUUUCCGUGUCGCAGCUAACGCAUUAAGCGCCCCGCCUGGGGAGUACGGCCGCAAGGCUAAAACUCAAAGGAAUUGACGGGGGCCCRCACAARCGGCGGAGCAUGCGGAUUAAUUYGAUGCAACGCGAAGAACCUUACCAAGGCUUGACAUACACGAGAACGGGCCAGAAAUGGUCAACUCUUUGGACACUCGUGAACAGGUGGUGCAUGGUUGUCGUCAGCUCGUGUCGUGAGAUGUUGGGUUAAGUCCCGCAACGAGCGCAACCCUCGUUCUAUGUUGCCAGCGCGUAAUGGCGGGAACUCAUAGGAGACUGCCGGGGUCAACUCGGAGGAAGGUGGGGAUGACGUCAAAUCAUCAUGCCCCUUAUGUCUUGGGCUUCACGCAUGCUACAAUGGCCGGUACAAAGGGCUGCAAUACCGUAAGGUGGAGCGAAUCCCAAAAAGCCGGUCUCAGUUCGGAUUGAGGUCUGCAACUCGACCUCAUGAAGUCGGAGUCGCUAGUAAUCGCAGAUCAGCAACGCUGCGGUGAAUACGUUCCCGGGCCUUGUACACACMGA
rnacentral:rRNA from 1 species